ACAUAAAAAAAAAAACAAGGAGACAGCACGUGAACUAUGCACGUGAUUUAGGGUGCGUGCCUCAAAGCUCUCCCCGCGUUAUUCAGCCUAGAGCCUAACCAUGUGCCGUGCUGUGCAGAAUACACGUCUAGAUUAGUUGCAAGAGAAGAUUUGCUUAAGUUCAACUGCCGGGCGACGUCAGUGGAGAACACCUUGGAGCAAAUCCUCCAUACGGUUUUCUUCAUGCUCGGCCCGCCACUGAUGGAUAAUCUGUUCACCUUCAACAGUCUUUGUUCCAGCCUAUCUAGGUCUGCAGUAGAUGCUAGAGGAAAGACACCACCCUCUUCCUCUUCAGCCAUCCGCAUUUGGGUACUCAAGACUGGAUUUUCCUGUCUCCCACAAGAAGUACCUGUAAGUAUAAAUUUACUGUAAGGUUUUAAAUAUUAGAUGUAGUGUUACAUGCAUCUGCCUUGAGGUUAUCAGAAGAAUGUCACAUUAUUUAGGGUAAAAUGUUUACCAUUUUCAAAAAAAAAAAAAAAAAAAAUUAUCCUGACCCUUAUAUGCAUUUCCGUGUUUUCUGGUUUGCUAAAGAGCCUUACUGGAGCUCAAAAGGGGAGUUGGUGAGUAAAAACUUAAAGCUGCAGUAGGGAACUUUUGACGCUCUAGCGGUUAAUAAACAGAACUGCUUGCGUCUUGCGGAAGAACAUUGUAGCCGGAUCUACUUCUCUCUGUUUAUGUCUAUGAAAAAUCACAAAGGUACUGGGUUACUCCGCCGCGGUAUCCCCGAAGCAAUCUAAAAUAGUCCG